UCUAAUAUGGCAGAAAAGUGCAAUGGAUUUAAGCUCCAAACAUGAAAUUAAUUCUAAUUUCUAUUAGAA
rnacentral:tRNA from 1 species